AGGAUUGUGAGAGGGAGGGGGAGGGGGUCAGAGCACAUGGUCGCCGCCAUUAUACUGCCGCGUGGGUUUCAGAGACAUUGCAGUGCUCUCUGAAGAGAACUCCAGACUAUAUUUCUCAAAAGAACCAGGUGUUAGAAGAGGAUACAAGUAUGCAGCAUAAAAAACGCAGGAGGAGCUUAUUUGAGAACGAUACAUUGUUUAAAAUAUUGGUUCCCGGGGCUCAAGAAGUUGCCCCAGUUCCUGGGUGCCGUGACAUCGCCUUGCUGCAGUUGGAUACCGAGGUGCAGGCGGGCGCCACCCGCAAGGCCCUGCAGGGCUUCUUCAUCACCCAGAGCCAUGCCAUGAAGAUCUCCUUCACAAAAAAGUGACCCAAAACACCCCAAACCCCACCAAAAUAACCCAAAACUAAAAAAAAUGGGACUGUAAUACCCAAAAAUCCCAAAAAACAGCCUCACACCCGCCCCUAAAUACCCCAAAUCUGCCCCAAAACACCCCAAAACCCUUCCAAACCGCCCUGUAAUCUCAGAGGAAUUCCCUGAAAUCCCUCCAAACCACCCCAAAAUUUUUCAAAGCUGCACCUCAAUACCCUGAAGCUGCCCCAAAAUACCUCCAAUGCCUUCAAGCUGUCCUAAAACCUCAUAGAAACACCCUGAAAUCCCUCCAAAUUACCCCAAGAUCCUGUAGAAACACCCAAAAAUGCCAUAUAAGUGCUCCCAAAUCCCAUAGAAACACCCAAAAAUCCCUCAAAACCACCUCACAACAUCCUAAAUACCAUAAAACUGGCACCAAAUUCCAUAGACCUGCCCCCAAAUCCCAUAGAAAUACUCCAAAAUCCCAGAAAACUUCCCCAAAAAUGGUCCUGGCCCUGCCCCAAACCCCCUGCAUGCUCCCACUCCCCCAGGUAAGUUCAGUUUGGCCGAAAUCCUCCUUUUUUGUACCUUAUUCACCUUUUUUUUUAAUCCCAAAUCCUCCUUUUUUUCAACCUCAAAGUCUCUUUUCAUCCCCAAGCUCAUUUUUUGACCCAAAUCCUGCUUUGUGCAACCCAAAUUUCAUUUUCUCACCCCAAAUCUCCUUAUCCCACCAUAAAUUCUCCUUUUUCCACCCCAGAUCCUUUGUGGGUCCCCAAAUCCCUUUUCCCGUCUCAAAAUCUCCCUUUUCCACCCCAAUUCCCCACCCCAAAUCCCGUUUUCCCACCCCAAAUCCUUCCCUGUCUACCCCAAAUCCCCUUUUCCCAUAGAGGAUCUUUCCCCAUCCUGAAUCCCCCAAUUCCCACCCCAAUCCCCCUUUUUUCCCCAGCCUUGUACCCAGGGUCUCUUUGCAGACAUUGCACCUGAAGCUGCCCCAAAUAAACCGUGGAUAAACCAAAAUAACCUCCCAAAAAACCCCAAACAAACCCCACUGUGCCCUCCAGGGCUGGAGUGGGUUUGGGGGGGGAUUGGGGUUUGAGGGUUUUUGAGCCAAAACUUUGGGAAUUGGGGAUGAUUGAUCCUAAAAUUUGGUGUUUGGGGAGUUUGAAACCUCAGGGUUUGGGAUUUGGGAUUUUUGAACCCAGGAUUUGGGGAUUUGGGGGUUUGCCCCCCAAACUUUGGGAUCAAGGCAUUUGUACACCCCAGAUGUUUCAAACCCCAGGAGUUGGGGAUUGGGGGUUUUAACCCCAAAUUUUGGGGGUUGGGGGUGUUUGACACCUCAGGAUUUGGGAUUUGGGGGUAUUUGAGCCCAGACUUUGGGAAUUGGGGGUGUUUGACACCCCGAGUGUUUCAAACCCCAGGAUUUGGGGUCAGGGGAAUUUAACCCCAACGUUUCGGAAUUGGGGAGUGUUUGACACCCCAGGAUCUGGGAUUUGAGGGGUUUGUUCCUAAAAUUUGGGGUUUGGGGCCGGGGGGGGGGGGGGGGUGACAUCCCAGAGUUUGGGUUUAUGGUGUUUCACCCCCCCCAGUGUUUGAACCCCCAGGAUUUGGGGUUCGGGGAGUUGACCCCAAGAUGUGAGGUGUUUGACCCCCCGGUGUUGGGGUCGGGGUUGAGAUCAGAGCCAUUCCCUGGAAACAGUGGUGGGAUCAGGGUUGGGAACAGGAUUGGGAAUGGGAACAGGAUCAGGAAUGGGAGUGAGAGCGGGGUCGGGAACUGGACCUGGAACGGGAUCAGGAUCGGGAACCGGAACAGAAAUGGUAAUGGGAUUGGAAUCGGGAACAGGAUCAGUGUUAUAAAUUUGCACCACAACGGAACAUAAUCCAAUUAAGAAUUUUAUUAAUUUACAGCAAGUAGGAUAUGAACAAAGGCAACAGCGCUGGACAGCAGACAGAGAACUUCAAAAACCGAAGCUCCACUGACUGCUGUGUUGAUUCGUUCAAACCGUCUCCUUUUAUUCCAAUUUCUUCUUUUGUCUCCCUGGAAUUUGCAAGCUAAUUCCUGCCGUUAUCUUGUGUUUGUAUAAGCAGUCUCUGGUGUAAAUGGUUGUUGUGAUCUUAUCUUGCAUAGGCAGUCUCUGGUGUAAGUGGUUGUUAUCUUAUCUUGCAUCAGCUGUGUCCGUUCUCUGUUUGCAUACCUCUGUUGCCUAACCUUAUCUUAAUAAACAAUACCCCGGUCUAUAUUUUCUCACAGUUACCUAACCUUUACAUAUAUCUUAAUAAACAAUACCUCAGUCUGUA